rnacentral:rRNA from 1 species
GACGUAGGGGGCCAGCGUUGCUCGGAAUUACUGGGCGUAAAGGGCGCGUAGGCGGAUGUCUUAGUCAGAUGUGAAAGCCCAGGGCUCAACCUUGGAACUGCCUUUGAUACUGGACAUCUUGAGUACGGGAGAGGUGAGAGGAACUCCGAGUGUAGAGGUGAAAUUCGUAGAUAUUCGGAAGAACACCAGUGGCGAAGGCGACUCACUGGCCCGUUACUGACGCUGAGGCGCGAAAACGUGGGGAGCAAACAGG